rnacentral:misc_RNA from 1 species
GCUGCCAUGCUCUCUCUCUCUCUCUCUCUUUUGCACUGUUCAUGUACUGUUUCUGCACUACACUUUCUUCAUCUGCAUCUUUUUUUUUUUUGGCUGCCAAUGCCAUGCUCUCUCUAUUCUGGUUUCUUCUGCACUGUUCCAGCAGGUGCAAUUCUCCAUUUUUUCCUUUUCUUUGCCAUGCCCUUUCCUUACCCUGCAAUGCUUUUCUUUUUCUUUUCUUUUUAGUAUAAA